UCCAUCUGUUUCCAUGGUAACACUCUCCCCAGAUAUUUGUAGAGGCAUCUAUAGUGAGUGAGCUGAAGGUCAGGUGUGUAUUAACCUGUCAUCGCAAGGAGGACGGCAGCUGAUGAGGCUGCAGAAGGAGGGAAGUGACGACUGACAAGCUAAUUCUGUGUGACAGAGUGAGAUGUGCUUCUCAAACUGUCAGGCCUCUGUAGGAAUGCCAAGAGAAACACAUCAAGCAGAGCAGGGAGGAGAAAAUAAUGCUGGUAUUUCCACAACAGAAAGAUUACGCUGGAUUGAUCAUCAGCCAUUGUGUGUAUUUACUGGGCGAGGUUGUGAUUUUGCUAACUUGUCCUAAACGACCCUCCUCCUCCUCCUCCUCCUCCUGGACUGGUUCUCCUGUAAACUGUAAUAAUCAUAUUGCUCCGUCAGUGCAGAGGAGAACAAACCGUGUUCUGUCAUUCCUCAGGUAAUUCCUGAGACCCUGCCCAGCUGCACUUUCCCCCUCCAUCUUCCUCCAACAUCAACUCAAAUUACCACAUUCCUCCCUCCCUAACCUGCUCUUUAGAGUCUGAGGGUGAAAGAAAGGAUGCCUCAGGAGACGUCUUUUAGAGAGGUGCACAUACCUGCAUCUCUCUAAAAGAGAACCAGCCCUUAGUGUGUUAGAGGAGGUUCAAUACAGUUCAAAGCUGCAGCAAACUUUAAAGAUGAAUGCUGAUAGUUGGUUAAGGGGGUCACAACACUUUGCUGUAGCUUCUGUAGCCCAACACCUAGUUUCUGUUUGAGGUUGUUUUAUGUCAUUUUAUUUGAUUUUUUCUUACAUUUCUGUAGUUUUGUUGUUAAGUUGUCUAUGGCUUUUACUAGUAAUGAAAAAUACAGGCUACAUUUAACCUGCAUUAUCUCUCUCUGGCCACCUGACCACUACUCUGCUUCUACCUAUCAAGGGACGGGAGGAUGAUAAGAAGAAAUGACCUCGUUAUCAUGGUUAGCUACAUUAGCCAAUACAUUGCUACAGACAGACAAGCUCUGAGGUGUAUCUACAUAGUAAUAAGGUCCAUCUCACUCUCACCAAGCUCUUCUGAUACAGUUGUUAAUUACUUGUGUACCGUAUGAGACCUCAUUAAAGUUGGAACUUAGUUUGUUGUAUUAUUUUGCAACGGUAGUUUUUAUGUGGAUGUAUUAAAGUUACCAGAUGCCAGCCACAUCUUUUUGGAUUCCUCAUCUGUAGGCAGGUGAUACAAACUCUUAUUAUUAUUAACAUAUUACAUAGUAACAUUUCGAAUAAGAGUUAUGUACAAAUAGGGGUAUAGUUCAUUUGAUUGACUCGCGGUCAUGCUGUAGCUGUUUGUGAGGCAGUAAGGCUCCAACUCCAUCUCUUUUGCUAUGUUCACACUGCAGACAAAAGUGGCCCAAAUUUGAUUUUUUGGGGGUCAAGUGACCAGGUCAGAUUUUUUCAGAUUUAGACC